UGAGAGCAUGCCCAUUGCGCAGUGUUAAUCCCGCUUUGUGGUUGUUAGAGAGGUGGAAAGGUGGCACCUACUCGGCUAUGGUGGUAAGUGGGCCUUGGAGCUGUACCUAGGUUUAAGUGAUGGUAAGUAUGGAAGUAACUUCUAACAUAUGUAACAAAAAACAACUAUAUCAAAGGACAAGUCAGUUUGUGGGCAUAAUAUAGUUGUUUGUACAAGAGUCACUUAGCUAAAGCCACAUUGUU